rnacentral:ncRNA from 1 species
AUGUGGGUUGUAGUUCAGAAAGAUAAAGCCGCGCGCCUGAUCGAUCUCAUGAAACAGGGGGUUCCAGUCAAACAUGGCAAGCAUGUAUCCCGGUAAGGUAUUUGCCAGAAACAUCUUACCAGACGCGAUCAUGUUCGCCCGCU